rnacentral:rRNA from 1 species
UACGUAGGGCGCAAGCGUUAUCCGGAAUUAUUGGGCGUAAAGAGCUCGUAGGCGGUUUGUCGCGUCUGCCGUGAAAGUCCGGGGCUCAACUCCGGAUCUGCGGUGGGUACGGGCAGACUAGAGUGAUGUAGGGGAGACUGGAAUUCCUGGUGUAGCGGUGAAAUGCGCAGAUAUCAGGAGGAACACCGAUGGCGAAGGCAGGUCUCUGGGCAUUAAACUGACGCUGGAGGAGCGAAAGCAUGGGGAGCGAACAGG